rnacentral:rRNA from 1 species
AACAUAGUUUUAUGUAUUUAUAUAAAAUAUUUUCUGCCCAAUGUUUUUAAAAAAAUCAAUGGCCGCAGUACCUUGACUGUGCUAAGGUAGCAUAAUCAAUUGGCUUUUAAUUAAGGUCUAGAAUGAAUGGGAUAAUGAAGUUAAUCUGUCUUAGUUGCUUUUAUUAAAAUUUAUUUAAAAGGUGAAAAUACCUUUUUUAAAAAUAAAGACGAGAAGACCCUUAGAAUUUUUAUUAUUUUUUUUUGUUGGGGCGACAGUUUAAAAUAUAAUCUUAAAUUUAUUGUAAUAUAUAACGAUUUUUUUAAUAGAAAUUAAAUUACCUUAGGGAUAACAGCAUAAUUAAUUAUUUAGUUUGUGACCUCGAUGUUGGACUAGGAACUAUAUGGCUAACCGUCUAAUUAGAUUUGUUCUGUUCG